rnacentral:rRNA from 1 species
UACGUAGGGUGCAAGCGUUAAUCGGAAUUACUGGGCGUAAAGCGUGCGCAGGCGGUAAUGUAAGACAGAUGUGAAAUCCCCGGGCUCAACCUGGGAACUGCAUUUGUGACUGCAUGGCUGGAGUGCGGCAGAGGGGGAUGGAAUUCCGCGUGUAGCAGUGAAAUGCGUAGAUAUGCGGAGGAACACCGAUGGCGAAGGCAAUCCCCUGGGCCUGCACUGACGCUCAUGCACGAAAGCGUGGGGAGCAAACAGG